rnacentral:sRNA from 1 species
UGCCCGAAAGCUUAAACCCACACACGUAUCGACACGGUUUCCUGGGUGCCUGGCGACAAGUUCGCCGGGUUGGAGAUCGGGAUGCGUGGAGGCCUAAC